AGAGUUUGAUCAUGGCUCAGGAUGAACGCUAGCUACAGGCUUAACACAUGCAAGUCGAGGGGCAUCAGGGUGUAGCAAUACACCGCUGGCGACCGGCGCACGGGUGAGUAACACGUAUCCAACCUGCCCUUUACUCGGGGGAUAGCCUUUCGAAAGAAAGAUUAAUACCCGAUGGCAUAACAUGACCUCCUGGUUUUGUUAUUAAAGAAUUUCGGUAGAGGAUGGGGAUGCGUUCCAUUAGGCAGUUGGCGGGGUAACGGCCCACCAAACCUUCGAUGGAUAGGGGUUCUGAGAGGAAGGUCCCCCACAUUGGAACUGAGACACGGUCCAAACUCCUACGGGAGGCAACA
rnacentral:rRNA from 1 species